UGUGUCCCACCCCUGUGAUUGGAGCUCAAUAUCAGAGCGUCUGUCAGUCCGACUGCAAAUCCAACAUCACUGUCCUUCAGUUUCACUCAUUCCCAGUAAAGAUGAGGACACACGCUCUGAUCAUCUGCUCUCUGCUGCUGCUGCUCAACGAGUGUAGAGGACAGAUCACCGUCACUCAGAGUCCCUCAAUGACAGCAGCUCAACCAGGACAAACUGUGAACAUCAACUGUAAAACCAGCAGAGAUGUGUUCGGUGGUGAUCGUUUAGCCUGGUACUUACAGAAACCUGGAGAAGCUCCUAAACUCCUGAUUUAUUAUACAAACCGCCUCCAGUCAGGAACUCCAUCUAGAUUCAGUGGCAGUGGAUCUAACAGUGAUUUCACUCUGACCAUCAGUGGAGUCCAGACUGAAGAUGCUGGACAUUAUUACUGUCAGAGUUUCCACGUUAUCAGUAGUAAUUAUGUGUUCACACAGUGAUAAAGAGUCGUACAAAAACCUCCGUCAGUCAGAGUCACAGUGACUGAACUGAUACUGCAGCUGCUCAAAGGAGGAUCUGAAACAACAUCGUCACACAAACAUCUGAAAUAAAAUCAUC